rnacentral:rRNA from 1 species
GACGAACGCUGGCGGCGUGCUUAACACAUGCAAGUCGAACGGAAAGGCCCUGCUUUUGUGGGGUGCUCGAGUGGCGAACGGGUGAGUAACACGUGAGUAACCUGCCCUUGACUUUGGGAUAACUUCAGGAAACUGGGGCUAAUACCGGAUAGGAUCUCCUGCUGCAUGGUGGGGGUUGGAAAGUUUCGGCGGUUGGGGAUGGACUCGCGGCUUAUCAGCUUGUUGGUGGGGUAGUGGCUUACCAAGGCUUUGACGGGUAGCCGGCCUGAGAGGGUGACCGGCCACAUUGGGACUGAGAUACGGCCCAGACGCCUACAGGAGGCAGCAGUGGGGAAUAUUGCACAAUGGGCGGAAGCCGGAUGCAGAGACGCCGCGUGCGGGAUGACGGCCUGCGGGUUGUAAACCGCUUUCGCCUGUGACGAAGCGUGAGUGACGGUAAUGGGUAAAGAAGCACCGGCUAACUACGUG